GCAAAAUUCAUUGACGACUGAGAUGUUCAGUCUCUCCAAUCGGGCAUUUAAAAACAAAUGUGCUCUCAGUAGUCCUGGCUGUCAUUGUCCUUUGCUUCAGAUGUUUACUAUUGUAUGGGAUAAUGAUAGCAGCUCAGCUCAGAAUUAUUGAGAGGAAAAGCACUCGGAUGCUGUAAUAAUUUUUUCAUAGAAACAGUAUGAAGUCACUAGUAUUGCACCUGGUGCAAAGGCCAGUAGUGCAAUGUAAGUAGGGUUUGGUCUGUGUGUGUGGAGUGAGCAUUUGGGAAAGGCGCAGCUUCCCCAUGGACAGGCAUGUGUGAAGGGCUUUGCCCAAGGAAGCUUUCUGGGGUUUUAAUACUGUGAUAGAAACAGGGGUGCUCGUACUACAACUGGAAGAGAGGGAAGGGCCUCAAGUUGUAUCGGGGAGGUCCAGACUGGAUAUUAGGAAGUAAUUCUCCAAGAGAUUGGUUGGGCACUGCUACAGGCUGCCCAAGGAGGUGGUGAGGUCACCAUCCCUGGAAGUGUUCAAGAAACAUGGAGAUAAAGUACUUAGAAACAUGGUUUAAUGGGCAAUAUUUGUGGUUAAUGGAUCAGUGGACAUGGUGAUCUUAGAGGUCUUUUCCAACCUUAAUGAUUCUGUGAUUCUAUACAGUGGUAAUGCAUUAGUUUUAGCAGCAAGGAGGGCUGUGCAAGUGCUCAGUUGAGUUUCAGAUCUGAAUGAAAUUAAAUGCAAAAAGCCAACACAAACAUGUACAUCUUAGGAUUUAGAAGCUGUUCUCAAAGAUUGGAAUGAGCCUGUGGUUGUAGUGAUAGCAGAUAGUAAUGUAUCUGUGAGAACUGACACCUUGAGGAAUUAUCCACUGUGUGAGGGCUCAGAAGAGUGUGCACUGAGCUCUGUUCACAUCUGCUGGCACUGUUUGGUACUUAUUCCCACAGGCAAUGUUGUACAGUUUGGAAGUCAGGAAAAGAGAAGCAAAGUGUAUCUGCAAAACAGCAGCGUUGUGCUGGAAAACAGUUCAGUGCGUUUCCCUCUGAAAGGCAUUCAGACCACUGACUUGUGGAGUGCCAGUUCCUCUCUAGUACAAGUUUGACACCAUGCAAUGUUUCAGACCAACUCUUUGGAGGCAGUUGUGUUAGCAGUCUGAUGGCUCAUGCUCUGGGAGAAGUGGUGAGUACUGACUGCCUGACUUUGUACAAGGGAAAGCAAUCCUCAAUCAGAAAGCAUUGUUUGUUAUUGUUUUUUGUGUUUUUUUUUUUUUAAGUAAC
rnacentral:lncRNA from 1 species